GUGUUGUAUAAAUGAAGUUAGUGCUGCCCUCGGUAAGGGUGAAAGAGGUCCUAGUGGCCUUACCAACAUAUAUACCGCUAAGUUGGUUGCCACGUACUCUGCGGCAUCCGACCAUGUUAU
rnacentral:ncRNA from 1 species